UUUGCCGGAAGGGAUCGUGGCUGACAUGGCGGAGGCCCCGCAGGGCGGCGGUGCGGGUGUCCCGCAGCACCCAGUCCCUAGUGCGAGCCACAGCAGCUUUCCAGAGUACGAGCUCCCCGAGCUGCACACGCGCGUGUUCCACGUGGGCGCCUUUGGAGCGCUAUGGCGCGACCGCCUGGGUGCCCGAGAUUUGUCGCUGAGCGAACCGCAGGCGGAGGCGCAGCGGUCGGACGGAGGGGCGUCCAACAACGGCUUGGAGGAUGCUGCGGUAGCCAGGGAUUUGGGCUGCAGUCUGGAGGCGGCGGCAGAGCUGAGGGUCGUGUGCGGCCUUGAUAAAUUGCGAUGCCUCGAAGAAGGUGAAGACCCAGAAGUCAUUCCAGAGAACACUGACCUAGUGACUUUAUGUGUCAGGAAGGGACUCUUGGAUUAUCGGGAAGAAACCAUCACGAUAGACCGUGCCUGUAGACAAGAAACAUUUGCUUAUGAAAUGGAAUCUCAUGCACUCGGAAAAAAACCUGAAAAUGCAGCAGAUAUGAUUGAAGAAGGGGAGAUUAUCCUGUCUGUGAACAUCUUAUACCCUGUUAUAUUUAAUAAGCACAAAGAACACAAACCGUACCAGACGAUGUUAGUAUUGGGCAGUCAGAAGCUCACAGAACUGCGAGAUUCAAUUUGCUGUGUCAGUGACCUCCAGAUUGGUGGAGAAUUCAGCAAUACUCCAGACCAAGCUCCUGAGCACAUCAGCAGAGACCUAUACAAAUCAGCUUUUUUUUAUUUUGAAGGAACAUUUUACAAUGACAGAAGAUUCCCGGAAUGCAGAGACUUGAGCAGAACUAUUAUAGAGUGGUCAGAGUCCCAUGAUCGAGGAUAUGGAAAAUUUCACACUGCUAGAAUGGAAGAUUUCACUUUCAAUGACUUGAAUAUCAAACUUGGCUUUCCUUACCUAUACUGUCACCAGGGAGACUGUGAACAUGUUGUCGUCGUCACAGACAUAAGGCUUGUGCAUCAUGAUGACUGCUUGGAUAGAACACUUUAUCCCCUUCUUACCAAGAAGCAUUGGCUAUGGACCAGAAAAUGUUUUGUCUGUAAGAUGUAUACAGCUAGAUGGGUGACAAACAAUGACACCUUUGCACCAGAGGAUCCAUGUUUCUUUUGUGAUGUUUGCUUCCGAAUGCUCCACUAUGAUUCCGAAGGCAACAAACUAGGGGAAUUCCUUGCUUAUCCUUAUGUUGACCCAGGAACCUUUAAUUAGUAACACACAAAAAUAUAUUUUUUCCUACUAAAGUUUAGUUCUAUAUUACAUUAUUUUAUAUUUAUUACGAGGGUUUGUUGUUGUUGUUGUUGUGGCUUUUUACUUAAACUUACGUUACGGAGAUGUAGAAAUGCCUUUUUGCAUUUUAAUAUAUAAACCGUGUUGGAAACACAACUUCUGAUUCUUUUCUCCGAGUCCUCUGCAUUCAUACCCUGACUGGGUUUUGCUAGUGAUAGAACACAGUUAAACAGAUCAUGUGUGUUAAGUCUUUUUAAACAACUCUUUGAAGAACGUGAGAGCUACACCUUCUGUGAAGCUUCCAAGGUUUAAUUUAAAUUCAUCCAAAUCCUACAUUUCUCUGGAAGACUAAGAACAGACAAUUACAAAAAAAAUAAAUACAUAAAUCCGUGAAACCUACACAUUUAAAAGAUGGUGCAGCGCGUUUACGGACAGUCACUUGAGGCGCCCGGCAGGAGGUGACAGUGGCCGCUUGCGGUAUGUCCAGUAGCGUUCUCUUUUAAUGUUAGAGGCAACAUGGGUGCCAUUUACUUGCUAACGCGGAAGCUUCUUACUUCCCUGUACUGAAUGGUGUGGAGAAUUCUGCUGCAUUCAGGAGUGAUUUUACUCGGUCCCUAGAGUAACUUGGCAGUUCAAGUGGGCCUUGCCAAAUGUUCAUACAACUGACAGUGUAAACUGCAGGAAGUUCCCCUUACUACAUUUAUAAUGCCGGCUACCCCAUUGUAAUGACAAUGUUGACAGGUAACAGACAGACAUUACACUGUGGAAUCCUUAUUUAUUCAGAAUGCUAUUCUACUUCUUUUUCACCAAGAGUUAACAUACCACCUAUUUCUUUAAUGGUGAAAAUGAGGAAAGGAUAACCAGGUUACUAUUUUACACCAAAAGAAUUUCAACUUUAUAUUUACAAACUAUAAAGCCCCUGACUUCAAUUUUUCUGUAUGUCAAUCUCAAUGUCUUAAGUAUAACAACAAUUAAAUUUCAUGUUGUCACUUUAA